UCUGUGAUGAAAAUAUUUGGUCCGUGUUUAUGAAAUUGUAUGAUUUUAUAGCAAUCCAUAUUUCUGAUACGU
rnacentral:snoRNA from 21 species